rnacentral:rRNA from 1 species
AUUGAACGCUGGCGGCAGGCCUAACACAUGCAAGUCGAACGAGUGGCGGACGGGUGAGUAAUGUCUGGGAACCUGCCUGAUGGAGGGGGAUAACUACUGGAAACGGUAGCUAAUACCGCAUACCAUCGGAUGUGCCCAGAUGGGAUUAGCUAGUAGGUGGGGUAAAGGGUCACCUGGGCGACGAGCCCUAGCUGGUCUGAGGGGAUGACCAGCGACACUGGAACUGAGACACGGACCAGACUCCUAAGAGAGGCAGCAGUGGGGAAUAUUGGACAAUGGGCGCAAGCCGUAUGCAGCCAUGGCGCGUGUAUGAAGAAGGCCUUCGGGUUGUAAAGUACUUUUAGCGGUGAGGCGUUACCCGCAGAAGAAGCACCGGCUAACUCCGUGCCAGCAGCCGCGGUAAUAC